GGAGGUAUGGCUGAGUGGCUUAAGGCAAUUGUUUGCUAAAUCGAAAUACAAGAAGAUUGUAUCAUGGGUUCGAAUCCCAUUUCCUCCU
rnacentral:tRNA from 1 species